CUUUAGUGUUCCAUGGCUGAGUCCGAGUGCACUGCAAGCAAUGCCUAUUUUUUUUUUUUUUUCACAGAUUCAUCAUUUGUUGGCAGCCCUUGGUGGGAAGAGGAUGGCUUGGGCUCUGAGAGUCAAAGAAGUGGAGAUGGGGCCUGUGAUGCUGGGUUCAUCAUUUGUUGGCAGCCCUUGGUGGGAAGAGGAUGGCUUGGGCUGUGAGAGGCAAAGAAGUGGAGAUGGGGCCUGUGGUGAGUACGUAUUGAAAUCAUCAGGAUUAAGCAAAAAAUAUCAAUUGAAAUACAUUGAGUUAA
rnacentral:lncRNA from 1 species